AGCAGCCGCGGUAAUUCCAGCUCCAAUAGCGUAUAUUAAAGUUGUUGCAGUUAAAAAGCUCGUAGUUGAAUUUCGGGGUUAGUAGGUUGGUCAUGCCUCUGGUAUGUACUGGUCUCACUGAUUCCUCCUUCCUGAUGAGCCGUAAUGCCAUUAAUUUGGUGUUGCGGGGAAUUUGGACUGUUACUUUGAAAAAAUUAGAGUGUCUAAAGCAAGCUAACGCUUGAAUACAUUAGCAUGGAAUAAUGAAAUAGGACGUUCGAUCCUAUUUUGUUGGUUUCUAGGAUUGACGUAAUGAUUAAUAGGGAUAGUUGGGGGCAUUAGUAUUCAAUUGUCAGAGGUGAAAUUCUUGGAUUUAUUGAAGACUAACUACUGCGAAAGCAUUUGCCAAGGAUGUUUUCAUUAAUCAAGAACGAAAGUUAGGGGAUCGAAGACGAUCAGAUACCGUCGUAGUCUUAACCAUAAACUAUGCCGACUAGGGAUCGGAUGAUGUUAAUUUUUUAAUGACUCA
rnacentral:rRNA from 1 species